GACGAACCGUCCAAACGUUAUUCGGAAUUACUGGGCUUAAAGGGUGCGCAGGCGGCGCGGAAAGUUGGGUGUGAAAUCCCUCGGCUCAACCGCGGAACUGCGCCCAAAACUACCGUGCUUGAGGGAGACAGAGGUAAGCGGAACUUAGGGUGGAGCGGUGAAAUGCGUUGAUAUCCUAAGGAACACCAGUGGCGAAAGCGGCUUACUGGGUCUCUUCUGACGCUGAGGCACGAAAGCUAGGGUAGCGAACAGG
rnacentral:rRNA from 1 species